rnacentral:lncRNA from 1 species
GACUCACUAGCAUUGGGGUACAGGGAUAAAGGAGGGGUUGUGUCCCCCAGUACUUUGAGAGAUCCAUUGCGUUAUGCCCCAGUGGACUCUCCCUUGAUUCAAACAAAGCAGACAGCACAGCCUGCCGCAGGUGCUCUCAGCGGUGACCCCAGCAGGCCGCAGCGGGAGGGGCGGGCGUCUGUCCUGCUCGGCGCCGCGCUCCCGCCUUUCUGAGUUGCCGGGAUGGCGGCGGUUGGCGUGUGGUGUGUGACAGGGCCGUGGCGGCCGCUGCUGCCAGAACAUGUGCAGCAGGAGAGCGGGGAUCUUGUCUAUGGUAGGAAAAGGGGAAGCAAGGUUAAAAGAAUGAAGCCAGCAAAGGAAAAAAGUAGUGCUUUGGGCGGAUUUGGUGUGAAAGUUCCUUGGUUUGGAAAUCAUCUUGCAAAGACUGUGGGAAAUGCUGCCCUAUGUGAGGUUCUAAACUGGCAGGCAGAGUACCUUUGUGCAUGAUGCGGAAACAUCAUUGUUACUUCACAGGCUGCUGGGAACACACUGAAGGCAAAUGGAUCAGACUGAGGAUGGUAUGCUGCUGGAAGAUACAGAUCAGAAGCAGUCAUCUUCUGUGGGCUGGAAAGUGUCAGAGUUGUUAUCUUUCACAAAUAUCAGAAAUGAGCAGCAAAAUUACCUUUCACUUCUGGAGCAAACACACGUCUCUCUCUUCCAUACCAUACAGUCAGCAGUAAGAUCUAAUGACUGGGAUGCUGCAGCACGUAGCAAAUGCGGCUUUCUUUGUAAGAAGUCUAUUAGUAGUAGUUAUUCACAAAUAGGUAUUGCGAAGGAAAAUGCUGAGUCAUUAAGAAUAGGAGUGAGAAUUGCAGACAGCUCCAUAUCUGAAGAUGUCAAACAGCUGUCUGAAUCAAAGCCAGAAGUAUCUGUUUCUGGAGGACACAAAAAAUUCUAUGCUAGUGACUCGCUGCGAAAACAUAUUCUCCCUUACGUGUUUUUGAUCAAAAAUUGCCUUUCUAUGCCACUUUCUUUGAUCCAAGACAAAUGUUUCAGUGGAGAGAUAUUAAGCAAAAUACAGUAUUUAAGGAAAGAGAAGAGGAUCACAGCAACAUCAGAGACUCCUGUUUCCAAAUUAGAUGCUUCUGAAGUGCCAGAAGUACCAUAUGUUGUCUUCCGUAACCUGAGGGAAUUGCAAUGGAAGCUGUAUAAAGGCAUUGUGAAGAGGAGGGAGUCUAGCCGAAUUUUUUGGAGAGAAGCAAAUUAUGGAACUUUUACAAUACCGGAUGGAACAGCUGUAAAGACAUACUACAACCUCCCUUUGAUUUUUAAAGAUUCAGUAACUUUGUCAGUUUAUCCUGCAUAUCCUGUUCUACAUCUUGAAUUUAAAAGGAAAUAAAUAACUGCAGCUCAGAAGAGGAAGCAAAU